ACGGCCGUACCAUGCUGAAUAUACCGGUUCUCGUUAGAUCACCGAAGUCAAGCAUCAUUGGGCGCGGUCAGUACUUGGUGGGUGACCACCUGGGAACACCGCGUGCCGUU
rnacentral:rRNA from 1 species